rnacentral:rRNA from 1 species
UACGUAGGGUGCAAGCGUUGUCCGGAAUUAUUGGGCGUAAAGAGCUCGUAGGCGGUCUGUCGCGUCUGCUGUGAAAACUCAGGGCUUAACCCUGAGCUUGCAGUGGGUACGGGCAGACUAGAGUGCGGUAGAGGAGAGUGGAAUUCCCGGUGUAGCAGUGAAAUGCGUAGAGAUCGGGAGGAACAUCAGUUGCGAAGGCGGCCUCUCUGGACCAGCACUGACACUGAGGCACGAAAGCGUGGGGAGCAAACAGG